AGUAAUCGCAGAUCAGCAACGCUGCGGUGAAUACGUUCCCGGGCCUUGUACACACCGCCCGUCAAGUCACGAAAGUUGGUAACACCCAAAGCCGGUGGCCUAACCUUUUGGAGGGAGCCGUCUAAGGUGGGAUUGGCGAUUGGGACUAAGUCGUAACAAGGUAGCCGUACCGGAAGGUGCGGCUGGAUCACCUCCUUUCUAAGGAG
rnacentral:rRNA from 1 species